rnacentral:ncRNA from 1 species
UAAAAAACAGAGAAAGAGAAGAGUAUGCUAAUACUACUUUUAGAGAGGAAAAUCCAGAGGCUGAAAGAUUUUCUAAGGAAAGAUUAGCAGAAUGUAGCUCUGGAGUUUUUGGAAGAACGCAGCUAGUGAAAUGUGCUAGUGGCUAGUAGAACCAACCGUAUACCAGCGUUAAUGGGAAAUGAGAAUUGUCAAUUGCACAUUUGAAUUGUCAAUUAAUAUAGGUGGUACCACGGGUAGAAACUCGUCCUAAGA